rnacentral:rRNA from 1 species
UAAACCUCUUUCAGCAGGGAAGAAGCGCAAGUGACGGUACCUGCAGAAGAAGCACCGGCUAAUUACGUGCCAGCAGCCGCGGUAAUACGUAGGGUGCGAGCGUUGUCCGGAAUUAUUGGGCGUAAAGAGCUCGUAGGCGGCUUGUCGCGUCGGAUGUGAAAGCCCGGGGCUUAACCCCGGGUCUGCAUUCGAUACGGGCAGGCUAGAGUGUGGUAGGGGAGAUCGGAAUUCCUGGUGUAGCGGUGAAAUGCGCAGAUAUCAGGAGGAACACCGGUGGCGAAGGCGGAUCUCUGGGCCAUUACAGACGGUGAGGAGCGAAAGCGUGGGGAGCGAACAGGAUUAGAUAACCUGGUAGUCCACGCUCGUAAACGUGGGCAUCUAGGG